rnacentral:lncRNA from 1 species
UACUCUGCUCUAUUUACGGUUCUUCCUUGAAAUUUUUUAGUAUUCCUAGCUCUCCAGAUAUGGUGUAUCACUGUUAUAUUAGACACAACUACCACUUCCUUUUUGAAUUGCUUCCAAUGCUUUCUUUUGAUCAUUUCCAUCAGUUGCUUGAUUCCUGCAACCUGCACUGCCUGUCCUAGCCACAGGUUUAUAUCUUGUCUUACUGUAUUGAUCCAUCUGCAUUCAACAAACAAGUGGUCCUUAUUUUCCGUUUAUCCUCAUCACACAAAUUACAGUUUAUAUUAUCAACCUAUAAUUGCAUCCCAAUCAGUUUGUCUUAAGUUAGCAACCUCCCUAAUAUUGCAAGCCAGCCAAUAAAUCUGUGUUUAAGUUGUGCUACAGUUGUCCAGAUUAAAUUUGCAAUCUCUAGUUUCUGUUGUCGACCAAUUAUAGCAAGAUAGCUAUUAGUGAUUGAAUAUCUCCCUCCUGAAGUUAAAACAUAUUUGUUAUGGGAGUACCAUUCCUUCAUUAGUUCUUUGAUUGAGUUUAUCUUCCUCCAGUACCAGCUACUAUCUAUUAUGAGAUUUUUAAUAUAUUUUAAAAAAGAUAUUACAAGGGGCACUCAUGUUUGAGCUAUUUGCAUUUCUACCCUCAGGUUUUCAUAAAUACCCAAUGUAUGGGUCGAAAUUCGGCUUAGGAACUUAGGCGUGGGAAGAUUGUUAAGUGAAAAGAUUGUGUUUCGAUUUGGGUGACCAGGCCGAGGUCGACCAACGCCCAACAACGUGCAGUCGCCGAGCAAGCCGUUAAAGCCGAAGUCGAGUAGCGAAGAAUAGGAACAACGGCUAGUGUAGUCUUGGAACUAGCGACAUGAAUAUUCCCUUGAAUAUUCUCUUUGUUGUACUUUUUUAGGAUUUUUAGAGAACAUCUCAUAUAAAUAAAAAAGGAAAGAGAGGAAAAAAGAGACGGGAGAUUCAUUCUGAGAAAAACUAUUAUAAGAAGUUGACUCUUGAGAGAAAAUACAAAGGUUCACCUUUCCAGAGUGAUUGAUUUUGUCGAUUAUUCUUCCUUUUUACUCAAACGAUCCAAGAAAGCAUUGUUCAUUUUCUUACUUAUUGCCACACUUUGUUGUCAGGAGGAAAAAUCUUCCACAUCAUUCAAUAUUUGGGUGAAUCGUUCUUCCUAUUUACAUUUAUUGCCAUUUUCCAUAUUUAUUGCUCAUCAUUCAUUCUUCAUUUAUUCUCAAAAGCGUGCAUUUAAUAAUCUGAUAACCGACUCCGCACAUUAAGUAGACGAUAUCAUUUAAACACCUAGCUAGAUCUAAGAAUUAUUAUGCUUGACUAGGAUUCACUUUUUUCACCUUAUUUUAUCUUUUGAUUAGUUUAACAAAGAGUACUAUACUUUUUGGUCAAACACCCAGCCCAACCCAACAACCUGAACUUCUUAAACGCUCGCUUCUCUCUUACAUUUAGCAGAAACACACACACAAAAAAAAAUAAAAAUAAAAAAUAAUGGAGGUGGUUGCUGCUCAAAUGCAAAGUAUACCAUUAACAAGUUUAAUGUAGCUUCUGCAGUUCUGCUUAGCUUCGUCAAAGCUCUUUGUUACAGGCGUUACAACUUAAGCCUAACAUUUGAAAUAUUUUUUUCUUCUUCCUUUAUUUGAUUUAAAUAGCGUUUGAAAUGCUUUUUAGGCUUCAAUUUCUUCAAAAAGAGAAGUGAUCUCUACAAAAAUAGAUUGAAUCCUUUUUGUAAAAAUGUUGUUUGAAAACUAAUUCAAAUUGUAGUAGAAAAUCUUAGUUAUUUAGAAUUUGGUUUAUUUAAUUCAUGUCUAAAUAUAAUUUGCGGUUAGAAUAAAUAUAGGAAUAUGCUUUUCUGUUUCUAGUUAAAAUAGUUUUCAUACUAUCAUAAAUAAGGGUAUUGAUUGUUUAUUUUAUGUGUGAAGGAAAUAAAGAAUUGCAGAGAUCAUUUAGACAUGGAUUAUGGAGCUCCUGCGUAUAAACUUCCAGCAUAUUAUGUUGAAUUUCCAACACAUUACGAAAUUUCUGUACAUUAUGUUGGAAUCUCAUAUGUAACAAAUUCGAACUCCAACAUAUUAUGCUGAAACUUUUUCGGAUUUUAAGGAUGUUCUUGUUCAGAUUUUAUCUUUAUAUAAAAAGGUUG